UACGUAGGGGGCAAGCGUUGUCCGGAUUUAUUGGGCGUAAAGAGCGUGUAGGCGGCUAGGUAGGUCCGUUGUGAAAACUCGAGGCUUAACCUCGAGACGCCGAUGGAAACCAUCUGGCUAGAGUCCGGAAGAGGAGAGUGGAAUUCCUGGUGUAGCGGUGAAAUGCGCAGAUAUCAGGAAGAACACCCGUGGCUAAGGCGGCUCUCUAGUACGGUACUGACGCUGAGACGCGAAAGCGUGGGGAGCGAACAGG
rnacentral:rRNA from 1 species